CCUACGGGAGGCUGCAGUGAGGAAUAUUGGUCAAUGGGCGGGAGCCUGAACCAGCCAAGUCGCGUGAGGGAAGACGGUCCUAUGGAUUGUAAACCUCUUUAGGCGGGGAGCAAUGCCGGGCACGCGUGCCCGGAGGGAGAGUACCCGCAGAAUAAGCAUCGGCUAACUCCGUGCCAGCCGCCGCGGUAAUACGGAGGAUGCGAGCGUUAUCGGGAUUUAUUGGGUUUAAAGGGUGCGUAGGCGGAGUUUUAAGUCAGCGGUAAACUGUCGGGGCUCAACCAGGGCCGGCCGUUGAAACUGGGGAGCUUGAGUGGGCGAGAGGGAUGCGGAAUGCGUGGUGUAGCGGUGAAAUGCAUAGAUAGCACGCAGAACUCCGGUUGCGAAGGCGGCAUACCGGCGCCCGACUGACGCUGAGGCACGAAAGCGUGGGGAGCGAACAGGAUUAGAUACCCCUGUAGUC
rnacentral:rRNA from 1 species